AAUCUGUGUGGUCCAGUUUAUUAUUUCAUAUCCAAUGAGUUGAAGAGCUGGUCUGACAGCAGGCAGUACUGCAGGGAUCAUGGUGCUGAUCUGGUCAUUAUCAACAAUGAAGAGAAGCAGAGGUUCAUAUCUUCAUUUAUGAAAGAUGUUGACAGAGCGUGGAUUGGUUUAUCUGACAGAGAGCAGGAGGGCAACAUGACAUGGGUGAAUAAUUCAACACUGAAACAAGGGUUUUGGAUGGAAGGUGAGCCGAAUAACUAUGAAGGUGUAGAUGAGGACUGUAUAGAAAUGAGACUUUCGAAAGACACACUGAAUAACUGGAACGAUCUGCCAUGCUCAAUUCAAAGAAAAGGGAUUUGUGAGAAAUAGGGUCUUAUCUUUUUACUUGUGUUAUUUUAUGGCAUCAACCUUAUUGUGAUUGUAUAAGUAAUUUUUAAGUUUCCUGUUUUUUAAAACAUGAUGUGUUGUGAAACGCAUCUAAUGUGGUCAUGUUAUGCUAAAUCACAAGCAGCUCUAUAUUAUUAUGAUCUUAUUCUAGUUGUUAUCAUGUCUCAUUUGUUGAUCUGAAGUGUUAAGGGGACAAUGACAAUAAACUACAUUACAAACUACUAACUAUAUAUUGAGUGUCUGUAAAACUGCUUUUGAAUUCAAUUGCUUUUCUGUUUGAAUAAAAUUUUAAAUUACCAUCAUUAGAAUAGUG